rnacentral:rRNA from 1 species
AGUUUGAUUUUCCUGGCCUGUGAUUGAACGCUGGCGGGAUGCUUUACACAUGCAAGUCGAACGGCAGCACGGACUUCGUCUGGUGGCGAGUGGCGAACGGGUGAGUAAUGUAUCGGAACGUGCCUAGUAGCGGGGAUAACUACGCGAAAGUAGUAGCUAAUACCGCAUACGCCUCCUGGGGAAAGCGGGGACCUUCGGGCCUCGCACUAUUAGAGCGGCCGAUAUCGGAUUAGCUAGUUGGUGGGGUAACGGCUCACCAAGGCGACGAUCCGUAGCUGGUUUGAGAGGACGACCAGCCACACUGGGACUGGAGAUAUGGGCCCAGACUCGGCCGGAGGUAGCAGUGGGGAAUUUUGGAUAAUGGGGGAAACCCCGAUCCAGCCAUCCCGCGUGUGCGGGCGAAGGCUCUCAAGCUAAAGCACUUCUUUUGGCAGGAUGGAAAGAAACGGCACGGACAAUACCCUCGUGCAACUGACGGUACCUGCAGAAUAAGCCAGCACCGGCUACUACGUGCUCAGCAGCCGCGGUAAUACGUAGGGUGCAAGCGUUAAUCGGAAUUACUGGGCGUAAAGCGUGCGCAGGCGGUUCGGAAAGAAAGAUGAAAUCCCAGAGCUUAACUUUGAACUGCAUUUUUAACUACCGAGCUAGAGCGUGUGUCAGGAGGGAGGUGGAAUUCCGCGUAGCAGUGAAAUGCGUAGAUAUGCGGAGGAACACCGAUGGCGAAGGCAGCCUCCCGGGGAUAACACUGACGCUCUAUGCACGAAAGCGUGGGGAGCAACAGAUUAGAUACACCCUGCAGUCUCACGCCCUAAACGAUGUCAAAUUUAGCUGUUGGGGCCUUCGGGCCUUGGUAGCGCAGCUAACGCGUGAAGUUGACCGCCUGUAUACGGUCGCAAGAUUAAAACUCAAAGAAUUGACGGGGACCCAGUACAAGCGGUGGAUGAUGUGGAUUAAUUCGAUGCAACGCGGAAAAACCCACCUACCCUGACAUGUCUGAAUCCCGAAGAGAUUUGGGAGUGCUCGCAAGAGAACCGGAACACAGGUGCUGCAUGGCUGUCGUCACUGUCGCGAGAUGUUGGGUUAAGUCCUGCAACGAGCGCAACCCUUUGUCAUUAGUUGCUACGAAAGGGCACUCUAAUGAGACUGCCGGUGACAAACCGGAGUGAAGGUGGGGAUGACGUCAAGUCCUCAUGGCCCUUAUGGGUAGGGCUUCACGUCAUACAAUGGGCCGGGACAGAGGGUCGCCAACCCGCGAGGGGGAGCCAAUCCCAGAAACCCGAUCUGUAGUCCGACCAGUCUGCAACUCGACUGCAGUCGGACCGUUAGUAAUCGCGGAUCAGCAUGUCGCGGCACGUUCCCGGGUCUUGUACACACCGCCCGUCACACCAUGGGAGUGGGUUUUACCAGAAGUAGUUAGCCUAACCGUAAGGAGGGCGAUUAACACGGUAGGAUUCAUGACUGGGGUGAAGUCGUAACAAGGUAG